UAUCACAGCCAUACCCCCAUGAACGCGCCCGAUCUCAUCCAAACUUGGAAGCUAAGCAGGGUUGGGCCUAGAUGGGAGACUGCUUGGGAAAACCAAGUGCCAACAGGCUGGGUGGCUGUGGCUC
rnacentral:rRNA from 1 species